AAAACACAGGAAAACAACCCCUUAAUUUUGGAAAAUGUCUUAUCGUUUCUAAUUCGGUACGACAUUUUCAGGAAAAUUUGAAGCCAACACUAAUUUUCUACUUCCCCUUCCCCUUCCCCUAUCCUUGACACCUGGUCUUCUGCUUGCCAUCAGCCAACACUGAUUCUCAACACCAAACACCGGCGUUCAUCAAAGCUUUUCGCUAUAUUGUUGAAUCCAGUGAAAACCCCAACUUGAAUGAGAUGAGCAGUGAUGAAUCCAACGACAGUUUUUACUUUGUAGAAGAUGCAAUUUUUGAGGAAGUUGAUGGUGAUACACAACCGAUGCUUCAGCUAUGAUGGUGCAGGGGAUGCAGGGUCUCAAAGAUUGAAAUAUAUAUUUUAUUCCUUUAGAGCUUUGGGUCUGCUUUCGUGGAGAUACAGGUUCUCAAUGAAGUCUUCCAAAUGUGUAGAUUUUGUAAAACUUGCAUGAAAGUCAAGCCGUACGCAGAUUCAAUACUCUACUGGAAUUGCAGUUGCAGAGUAAGGGUGAUUUUGAUAUCUUCAUCCUCACCAACAAAACAAGUUCCCAAAAAAUUUCUGGUGUUAAUGUCAAGGGAGUGAAGAAGGCAUUGAUUGAUGUAAGGAAAGCAAAUGAGGAAGCAGAGUCAAGAAGGAAUAAAAGAGGAACAAAUCCUGCAGGUGCACUAGUGCAGAAUUUCUUGAAUACUAGAUGACUUAUCUAGGAUCAUAAAGAUUGAAGGAAAGGUUGUUUGGUUGAGAAGAAAGUAAGAACUUGAACCACUGUAAGAUGGAUUUCGGCGAAUUAGCACUUGCCAAAGAUCUCAUUUAUAUGGAGCUGGUCGUAACGCUAAUGGACUAUUGCUUCUGUGGAUUGUGUUAACACGUCGACAUUACGAGUUCGUCUAUCCACGUGUAGUUGUUUAGUUUAUUUCCAUAUUAAAACAAUUUAUGCGCUCUCGAUAAUUGCUUAGUUUGGUUAACCGGUUUGUGCACUAGUUUAUUACAAUUAGCAUUGUCACUUGGACAAUGCACACUUAUGCCUAAGGCAUUGCCAUGAUGCAUUGUUUUGAGUCUUGUGAGAAGCUGAAAUUUCAAUUGCAGUUUCGAAUUAAUCUUCUUGAUUUGUGAACUUGUUCAUGUGCAAUCCGGUUGAAUGAACAAUGAUUAAAAGAUUUAGAGGAAA